GGGCAGUUAGCGAAGCGGUCAAACGCGGCAGACUGUAAAUCUGUUGACUCAUGUCUUCGGAGGUUCGAAUCCUUCACUGCCCACCA
rnacentral:tRNA from 3 species